rnacentral:rRNA from 1 species
AACGAACGCUGGCGGCAGGCUUAACACAUGCAAGUCGAGCGCCCCGCAAGGGGAGCGGCGCACGGGUGAGUAACGCGUGGGAAUAUGCCCUUCAGUUCGGAAUAACACAGGGAAACUUGUGCUAAUACCGGAUACGAUCUACGGAUGAAAGAUUCAUCGCCGAAGGAGUAGCCCGCGUAGGAUUAGCUAGUUGGUAAGGUAAUGUCUCACCAAGGCGACGAUCCUUAGCUGGUCUGAGAGGAUGAUCAGCCACACUGGGACUGAGACACGGCCCAGACUCCUACGGGAGGCAGCAGUGGGGAAUAUUGGACAAGGGGCGAAAGCCUGAUCCAGCCAUGCCGCGUGAGUGAUGAAGGCCUUAGGGCUGUAAAGCUCUUUCGUCGGGGAAGAUAAUGACGGUACCCGAAGAAGAAGCCUCGGCUAACUCCGUGCCAGCAGCCGCCGUAACAC